UACGGAGGGGACUAGCGUUGUUCGGAAUUACUGGGCGUAAAGCGCACGUAGGCGGAUGUGUCAGUCAGGGGUGAAAUCCCGGGGCUCAACCUCGGAACUGCCUUUGAUACAGCACGUCUUGAGUCCGAUAGAGGUGGGUGGAAUUCCUAGUGUAGAGGUGAAAUUCGUAGAUAUUAGGAAGAACACCGGUGGCGAAGGCGGCCCACUGGAUCGGUACUGACGCUGAGGUGCGAAAGCGUGGGGAGCAAACAGG
rnacentral:rRNA from 1 species